AUGCAAGACUCUCGCUGCAAGCCAUAUGAAGAAAGUGCAAAUGUUGUUAUUAGGCAGAUUAAGCAUGAUGAGGCUGCUGCCACCGACAGCAGGGCUGGUGAUGGUACUGAGGCUAAUAUUUCUGAUCACCAUACGAAUGAUGUUGGCUUGGAGCCCCCUGUUGUUGAUAUUGAGCAGGAUGAGGCUGCUGCCACCGACAGCAGGGCUAAUGAUGGUACUGAGGCUAAUGUUUCUGAUCACCAUACGAAUGAUGUUGGCUUGGAGCGCCCUGUUGUUGAUGAGACUAGUCAUAAUGUUGAGGCUGUUGUUGAACGUGGAGUUAAUGAUCGACCUACUGAUAAGUGCAAGGGUCCUGUUGUUGGCGACGAGCCUUGUUCGCCCAUUGGUGAUGUUCCUUUGAAUGUUAGCAGUAGCAAGAUCAAUGAUGUUGUUGUGAAUGCUGCUAAGAUGAUGCUCGUGGUGUUCCAUUGA
rnacentral:rRNA from 1 species